UACGAAGGGGGCUAGCGUUGCUCGGAAUUACUGGGCGUAAAGGGGGCGUAGGCGGACAUUUAAGUCAGGGGUGAAAUCCCAGAGCUCAACUCUGGAACUGCCUUUGAUACUGGGUGUCUUGAGUGUGAGAGAGGUAUGUGGAACUCCGAGUGUAGAGGUGAAACUCGUAGAUAUUCGGAAGAACACCAGUGGCGAAGGCGACAUACUGGCUCAUUACUGACGCUGAGGCUCGAAAGCGUGGGGAGCAAACAGG
rnacentral:rRNA from 1 species